rnacentral:rRNA from 1 species
CGUGUAGGCGGAUUUGUAAGUCAGAUGUGAAAGCCCUGGGCUCAACCUAGGAAUUGCAUUUGAAACUACUUAUCUAGAGUAUUGGAGAGGGAAGCGGAAUUCCUGGUGUAGAGGUGAAAUUCGUAGAUAUCAGGAGGAACACCUGUGGCGAAGGCGGCUUCCUGGACAAUUACUGACGCUGAGACGCGAAAGCGUGGGGAGCAAAC